ensembl:lncRNA
UUUUGAGUUAAUUUUUAUGUCCUGAGUCAUAUGUCCGGGCCACAAUGCAGACUGAGUAGGAGAGGAUUUAGAACCAGAACAUAGAGUGCACACAGGUCGCCAUAGACACAGAUGCGCAUCACACUUGGAGAAGUGACUUACCCUAUAACCUUGACUAUUCUCACCUGUAAAACAUGGAGUAUGAUUGUGUGUUAAUACUUUCAAUCUCAAAGGACUGUGACGACUGAGAGAAAGAGAAAUCAAUCCAAGAGCAACAAAAAUAAAUUUCAGACUAGAUUCAAAAUGCUGCUUGCUCUGCCUGUGACAGCUUUCCCCAGCUUCCACCUCUCCAGUCAAAAGUUUUAAAGAAGGAAGACUACCUCCAAAGAACAAGGAAUGCAGUACCAGUGCCCGUUUUUAUGAGUGAAUCUCAAGUGGAAGGUGACAGACAGCAGAACAAACACUAUAAAGCAUAGUGGCUAAGAAGACAAGCUUUGGAAUCCAGCAGGGCAGCAUUCAAAUUCGGCUUCUCUCAUUUAUUCCCUGGGACGACUCCUCCGCAGUGGACACUUGCAGCAGCAAAAAUGCUUCAGAAACAUGGGGAAGUUAUUCAGGAGCAAUCUUCAACCAGUGAAAAAAGUCACCUGUAAAGAGAAAGGACAAGUUCAGUUCAAUCAAGUGUCAGCUCAGGAAUGCUGUGACAGCCAGAAUUUCUACAUGGCAGUGUUUAAAAAAGAUUCUUGUGUCAAGGGUCUGGGGUAGACUGGGACAUACCAGUUCACUGAUGGGUCUGAAGAUGGAUUGCUGUUGCUCUACAAACCUACUCAGAGAUAUUCUGAGUUAUAAGUGGUUUAUUGGGUUGUUUUAUUUUAUAUAGAGGAAGGAUCAGCCUGAGGCAAAAAUACACAUAAAUGCCUUGGUAGUGACAAAUGACUUGAAUGGUUCAUCAGAGGCCUUGGAGGAUCUGAUAAAAGGUAAUCAGAGAAGGGGAAUACAAAUAGACCAACAGAAGCUGGCAAAAGACAUACGUAUUUUUGUGUCUCAUGUUAAUGCCCAGCAGAGAUCAUUCACUGCACAAGAAGCACUCAACCAGCCAGGUGGACAGGAGGAUCUUUACUUUAAGGAAAGGAUCAUUACUUCCCAUCCUUCCCAUUGCUUGUGUGAUGAGCCCUUCAAAAGUGGAUCAGUUGUAGAAGAGAUGAAGUCUGUGCAUUGGUUCAGCAGCUUGAGUUCCUUCCAACUAAAGCUCAUCUCACUACUGAAGCUGCGGCUGAAUAUCCAAUUUGUCAUCAAAAUGUCUGAAUGCAUGAGAAAGCGUGGACUCAAGCAAGAAUUUCAGCUCCAGGGACGAGAAAGCUAAAAGAACUACCGAGGAGUAUAAAAGUCAAAAGAAAUCUCAACUUUUAAUGAUUGGAAGCACUUAUGGAAUAAAAAGAAAAAUCAAAUUAAGGAAGUUAUUUGCAGACAAGCAAUUUCACAUCAGCAGCCUUUGAAACAAAGGAAGCCAUAAGAAUUCUGUACAAAUUGUUCUAGACAUCUUCCCUAAGAAAAACGAGUAAAUUAAUAAAAAAUCUGAAUCCAGGUUUGGAUUAAAAUUAAAAGUUAUUUAAUACUACAUUGGAAAUAAUUAUCAGUUAAAAUAAAAUAUUAAAUUCAUUUUUUUACUGAUCACAAAGCGUUUUUGUCAACCCAAGACUUAACUAUAUUAUGCUAGAGUGUGCUUUUAAUAAAAAAAUUU